rnacentral:rRNA from 1 species
AGUGAACGCUGGCGGUAGGCCUAACACAUGCAAGUCGAACGGCAGCACAGUAAGAGCUUGCUCUUACGGGUGGCGAGUGGCGGACGGGUGAGGAAUACAUCGGAAUCUACUUUUUCGUGGGGGAUAACGUAGGGAAACUUACGCUAAUACCGCAUACGACCUACGGGUGAAAGCAGGGGAUCUUCGGACCUUGCGCGAUUGAAUGAGCCGAUGUCGGAUUAGCUAGUUGGCGGGGUAAAGGCCCACCAAGGCGACGAUCCGUAGCUGGUCUGAGAGGAUGAUUCGGCACACUGGAACUGAGACACGGUCCAGACUCCUACGGGAGGGAGCAGUGGGGAAUAUUGGACCAUGGGCGCAAGCCUGAUCCAGCCAUACCGCGUGGGUGAAGAAGGCCUUCGGGUUGUAAAGCCCUUUUGUUGGGAAAGAAAAGCAGCAGGUUAAUACCCCGCUGUUCUGACGGUACCCAAAGAAUAAGCACCGGCUAACUUCGUG